CCUUCUCUGUUCACACAGGGGAAUCGUGGCAACGAUCCACCGGCGCCAUGCCCACCGAUGACGCCGUGGCAGCCAUCCCACACCUCCCCGUCGUUUCCCUCGGCGGAUAAGAGCAACCCCCGGCCCCCUCUUCCUCUCCCCCAAACCCUAGCCUCCUUUUUCCCUCCCACGCGCCGUCACUCUCGCCCCGCACCCACCCGAGCUCCUCCAUCGCCGCGUCGUCAUCGAUCCCGUGGCCACCGGCCAUCCCUCGUCGCCGAGCUUAGUCCAGGAGCACCACCGUCCUCUUCCUCAUCGACUGCAAGCCUCGAUUCGAGCGGGGCCGCCCCGUACGCUCGCCAUCGAGGCCGUCCCCACCGCGUACAUCGCCGGUGUCCGCCGUCGUCGCCGCGACUCCAGUCCGCCUCCGGCCUCCCCGACCUCGCCUACUUCGACUACAUGGGCGAUAUCGAGCUGGAAGCCACCGGGACGCCCGCUGCUUCCCCGUCCUCAACCUCCAUCCGUCUCGGUCGCCGCUGCCGUCGCCAACGCCGGCCACCUCUACUGCUACUAAACCAUCGACGGGACCCCUUGCGCUCCCUACACCCCGAGCCGAUGAUGCCGCUGUGAUCGACUACGUCACCGACGACCCCUCGUUCUUGUCUGAGCAACCAGGCAAGCCCCACUUUUUGAUCAUCCCGAUAUCGUCCAUUCCAUUCUCUCAUGCUUGCAUUAGAUUUUGCUACUGUUAUUGUUUGCUCAUAUUCUCAUGCAUAGCCUGCUUCUGUACCCUGCUUAUUGUUACCUUACCUGCUUAUCCUAAAUUGCUUAGUAUAGGUUGGUUAGUGAUCCAUCAGUGACCCCUCACCUUGUCCCUGUUGCCCCUGCUUCAUCAUCGAAGACCCAAUCAACGGGAUCGAAGACCAGGCCCCGACACCGCACAUCACUUUCCCCUUAGUUG